AUGCGCCCCUUGAUGAGGAAUUGGAAAGAAGAGGCAGCGGAGAAAAGAGACAAGUACGACUUUCAAUAUGGUCGUGGUGUUGGGAUGAGGGUCAUAGAGAAAUUGAACAAAAGCGCCUUAUUCUACAAAGCCGGUGAUAUUGAAAAAGAAGAAGAUAAUGAGUAUGGUGAAAAUAGUGAAACUAGAAACUAUGGUGGAAAACCUCGUAAAGAAUUUGUAUAUAAUCCUGAUAUGGACAAUUUCAAAACACCAGGAAAAAAGAAUGUGCAAGAGGAUGAUGAAGAUGAUAUUAAUGAUUCUGAAGAGAAGAGACCUUAUUAUUGCACACCUGAUUAUUAG
rnacentral:rRNA from 1 species